rnacentral:rRNA from 1 species
GACGAACGCUGGCGGCGUGCUUAACACAUGCAAGUCGAACGGAAAGGCCCUGCUUUUGUGGGGUGCUCGAGUGGCGAACGGGUGAGUAACACGUGAGUAACCUGCCCUUGACUUUGGGAUAACUUCAGGAAACUGGGGCUAAUACCGGAUAGGAGCUCCUGCUGCAUGGUGGGGGUUGGAAAGUUUCGGCGGUUGGGGAUGGACUCGCGGCUUAUCAGCUUGUUGGUGGGGUAGUGGCUUACCAAGGCUUUGACGGGUAGCCGGCCUGAGAGGGUGACCGGCCACAUUGGGACUGAGAGACGGCCCAGACUCCUACGGGAGGCAGCAGUGGGGAAUAUGGCACAAUGGGCGGAAGCCUGAGGCAGCAACGCCGCGUGCGGGAUGACGGCCUUCGGGUUGUAAACCGCUUUCGCCUGUGACGAAGCGUGAGUGACGGUAAUGGGUAAAGAAGCACCGGCUAACUACGUG